GGAACAAUUGAAAGAGACAGAACAAAAUAACAUUUUCUUAUGAAACUUUUAGCCUAAUAUAUCCGACCAUAUGAAGACAUGAGUCAUCUAUCUCAAGAAAAUGGGCCGAAGCUAAGCCCAAAAUCGAUAUAUGUGUGGUUUACACCAGUCUGGUUAAGUAACUCGUGACUCACCGACGUGACUCUCAUCAAUCUUCAUCACUCUCCCCCGUGCGCCGUCGGUGCUAUUCCACGC